rnacentral:rRNA from 1 species
GAUGAACGCUGGCGGCGUGCUUAACACAUGCAAGUCGAACGAAGCACUUUUAUUUGAUUUCUUCGGAAUGAAGAUUUUAGUGACUGAGUGGCGGACGGGUGAGUAACGCGUGGGUAACCUGCCUCAUACAGGGGGAUAACAGUUAGAAAUGACUGCUAAUACCGCAUAAGACCACAGCACCGCAUGGUGCAGGGGUAAAAACUCCGGUGGUAUGAGAUGGACCCGCGUCUGAUUAGGUAGUUGGUGGGGUAACGGCCUACCAAGCCGACGAUCAGUAGCCGACCUGAGAGGGUGACCGGCCACAUUGGGACUGAGACACGGCCCAAACUCCUACGGGAGGCAGCAGUGGGGAAUAUUGCACAAUGGGGGAAACCCUGAUGCAGCGACGCCGCGUGAGCGAUGAAGUAUUUCGGUAUGUAAAGCUCUAUCAGCAGGGAAGAAA